UCCGUAGGGGGCAAGCGUUGUCCGGAUUUACUGGGCGUAAAGGGCGCGUAGGCGGCCCGCUAAGUCGAACGUGAAAUCCCCGAGCUCAACUCGGGAACUGCGUCCGAUACUGGUGGGCUUGAAUCCGGGAGAGGGAUGCGGAAUUCCAGGUGUAGCGGUGAAAUGCGUAGAUAUCAGGAGGAACACCGGCGGUGUAGACGGCUAUCUGGACAGUAACUGACGCUGAGACACGAAAGCGUGGGGAGCAAACAGG
rnacentral:rRNA from 1 species